GAAUAUUGGACAAUGGGGGGACCCUGAUCCAGCCAUGCCGCGUGUGUGAAGAAGGCCGUCUGGUUGUAAAGCACCUUAAGCGAGGAGGAGGCUACUUAGCUUAAUACUCUUGGAUAGUGGACGUUGACAGCAGAAUAACCUCCGGCUCACUAUGUGCCAGCAGCCGCAGUAAUACAGAGGGUGCACGCGUUAAUCGGAGUUACUGGUCGUAAUGCGCGCGUAGGUGGCCAAUUAAGUAAAAUGUGAAAUCCCCGAGCUUAACUUGGGAAUUGCAUUCGAUACUGGUUGGCUAGAGUAUGGGAGAGGAUGGUAGAAUUCCAGGUGUAGCGGUGAAAUGCGUAGAGAUCUGGAGGAAUACCGAUGGCGAAGGCAGCCAUCUGGCCUAAUACUGACACUGAGGUGCGAAAGCAUGGGGAGCAAACA
rnacentral:rRNA from 1 species